rnacentral:rRNA from 1 species
UACCAGCACCCCGAGUGGUCGGGACGUUUAUUGGGCCUAAAGCAUCCGUAGCCGGUUCUACAAGUCUUCCGUUAAAUCCACCUGCUUAACAGAUGGGCUGCGGAGGAUACUAUAGAGCUAGGAGGCGGGAGAGGCAAGCGGUACUUAGUGGGUAGGGGUAAAAUCCGUUGAUCCAUUGAAGACCACCAGUGGCGAAGGCGGCUUGCCAGAACGCACUCGACGGUGAGGGAU